rnacentral:rRNA from 1 species
UACGGGGGGGGCAAGCGUUGUUCGGAAUUACUGGGCGUAAAGGGCGCGUAGGCGGCCCUCUAAGUCAGACGUGAAAUCCCACGGCUUAACCGUGGAACUGCGUCUGAUACUGGAGGGCUUGAAUCCGGGAGAGGGAUGUGGAAUUCCAGGUGUAGCGGUGAAAUGCGUAGAUAUCGUAAGGAAGACCAGUGGCGAAGGCGGGUCUCUGGACAGUUCCUGACGCUGAGGCACGAAGGUCAGGGGAGCAAACGGG